GCAAGUCGAGGGGUAACAGAUGAAGAUCUUGCUCAGAUUGCUUACGACCGGCUCACGGGUGAGUAACACGUAUGCAACCUACCUUUUACAGAGGGAUAGCCCAGAGAAAUUUGGAUUAAUACCUCAUAAUAUUUUUAACUCGCAUGAGUUUUAAAUUAAAACUUCGGUGGUAAAAGAUGGGCAUGCGUUCUAUUAGUGUGUGGGUGAGGUAACGGCUUACCAAGACUACGAUAGAGAGGGGUUAUGAGAGGAUAGGC
rnacentral:rRNA from 1 species